rnacentral:rRNA from 1 species
UACGUAGGGCGCAAGCGUUAUCCGGAAUUAUUGGGCGUAAAGAGCUCGUAGGUGGUUUGUCGCGUUGUUCGUGAAAACUCACAGCUUAACUGUGGGCGUGCGGGCGAUACGGGCAGACUGGAGUACUGCAGGGGAGACUGGAAUUCCUGGUGUAGCGGUGGAAUGCGCAGAUAUCGAGGAGACCACGUGGCGAAGGCAGGCUCGUGGGCGAUGACUCUGAGAGCGAAGAGCGUGGGGAGCGAACAGG